UUCCUCUUCAUCAUCAUUUUCUCUCCUCUUCCCCUUUGCUCCCGCGACACCGAAUGCCUCUUCCUCUUCCCCAACCGACGGUGCCGCUUUGCUUCUCCUUCCCUCCCACGCAUACAAAACUUUCAACCGAAGAUCUCCCUCACUCGUCUCACGCAACACCAACUCCCCUUCUCUCCCGAUCUUCCCUACGCCGACGCUGUGCCCUAGCCCUAGAAUCGCUGCUUCUUCUUCUCUUCUGUUUUCUUCCUCCGAUCGCCGAGCAGAGCCACCUUCUCUCAGCCCUAGUGCCGAGCGCUUGGCACAUCCAAGGCGAACCCGUCGGUCUCCAACCUCUUGAUCUUAAGAAAAUUCCUACACGCGGUGACCCCAUCCUGUUCCUGAUUGCCGACCACAGUCUUCAUUCGAUCGGCUCACUGAUCGUAGAUUCAAAGCUGCAGACUGUUGGCCCGAUCAGUGUUCUUCCUCCCUGCCGAACACCAACGCUGAUAUAGGGAUUUCAGUGGCUAGAUGUGAGCAAGUGUUUUCAACUAGUAUUCUCAACAACCGCAAUUUUCGGCCAUGAGCAGCCAACACCGACAUCUCACUCUGACUGCUGUUUUUCCCCGAGCCAUCAAAAUUGAGAUCAACCGCUCUGCUAUGGAUCCGAGCAUCACCAUUUGAGGGUGACUCACAACUCCGACCACAAUUUCCAAUAGCUACCCUUUUCCGGCAACAACAUCCCUGGCUGCGAGUUUGAGGUUGAUGCUAUGAGGAGGUUUCAGUCGCUAGUCCCCCACCACUUUGUGUCGUGAUGAUUUUUGUUUUACGGACUUGGGUUCCUUGUUUGUGUUGACCUACUAUGUUAAUUUAUAUAUGUGUGAUGUAGGAUUGUACUCGAGGAUUUUAUCGACUUAUGGUCUACUGCAUUUGUUUUUCCACUGCGUUGGAUUUUCUGUCGUGGGUUUACGUUUUCCGUCGUUGUAGUGGAGUAGGUGG